UACGAAGGGGGCGAGCGUUGUUCGGAUUUACUGGGCGUAAAGGGCGCGCAGGCGGCUACAUUUGUCAGGCGUGAAAGCCCCGGGCUUAACCUGGGAACUGCAUUUGUGACUGCAUAGCUAGAGUACGGUAGAGGGGGAUGGAAUUCCGCGUGUAGCAGUGAAAUGCGUAGAUAUGCGGAGGAACACCGAUGGCGAAGGCAAUCCCCUGGACCUGUACUGACGCUCAUGCACGAAAGCGUGGGGAGCAAACAGG
rnacentral:rRNA from 1 species